rnacentral:rRNA from 1 species
GACGAACGCUGGCGGCGUGCCUAAUACAUGCAAGUAGAACGCAGUUGCGAACGGGUGAGUAACGCGUAGGUAACUGCCUCAUAGCGGGGGAUAACUAUUGGAAACGAUAGCUAAUACCGCAUACUGUGAGAUGGACCUGCGUUGUAUUAGCUAGUUGGUGAGGUAAAGGCUCACAAAGGCGACGAUACAUAGCCGGCCUUAGAGGGUGAUCGGGCAAACUGGGACUGAGACAAGGCCCAGACUCCUACGGGAGGGAGCAGUAGGGAAUCUUCGGAAAUGGACGGAAGGCUGAACGAGCAAAGCCGCGUGAGUGAAGAAGGUUUUCGGAGCGGAAAGCUCUGUUGUUAGAGAAGCGGUAACUAACGAGAAAGGGACGGCUAACUACGUGUCAGCAGCCGCGGUAAUUC